GACGAACGCUGGCGGCGUGCCUAAUACAUGCAAGUUGAGCGAUGAAGCUUGGUGCUUUCACCAAUUUGAAGAGCAGCGAACGGGUGAGUAACGCGUGGGGAAUCUGCCUUUGAGCGGGGGACAACAUUUGGAAACGAAUGCUAAUACCGCAUAACAACUUUAAACAUAAGUUUUAAGUUUGAAAGAUUCAAUUGCUUCACUCAAAGAUUAUCCCGCGUUUUUUUUGCUAGUUUGUGAUGUAAAGGCUCACCAAGGCGAUGAUACAUAGCCGAACUGAGAGGGUGAACGGCAAAAUGGGGAAGGAGAAAAGGCCAAAAAUAAUAAGGGAGGCAGCAGUAGGGAAACAUCGGAAAUGGAGGAAAGUCAGGACGAGAAAAGACGAGGGAGGGAAGAAGGUUUUCGGAUCGUAAAAAUCUGUUGGUAGAGAAGAAAGAGGGUGAGAGUGGAAAGCUCAUAAAGUGACGGUAACUAAACAGAAAGAGACGGCUAACUACGUG
rnacentral:rRNA from 1 species